rnacentral:rRNA from 1 species
ACGUAGGUGGCAAGCGUUGUUCGGAAUUAUUGGGCGUAAAGGGCGCGUAGGCGGUUUGUUAAGUCGGCUGUGAAAGCCCGGGGCUCAACCCCGGAGGGUCAGCCGAUACUGGCAGGCUAGAGUACGGAAGAGGUAGCUGGAAUUCCCGGUGUAGCGGUGAAAUGCGUAGAUAUCAAGAGGAACACCUGAGGUGAAGACGGGUUGCUGGGCCGACACUGACGCUGAGUGCGCGAAAGCCAGGGGAGCGAACGGGA